ACAUUUUUAAUACACUUAAUCACUUAACUGUCUCCUAAGGAGAAGAUCCCUCCUGCUCCCUUGUGCUCUCCCUGCGCACCGAGAGCGAUUCACAACUUCUGACACCGCACAAACACACUGGGCACGGCGCGCUGAGGCCGACAACGAGAGGGUUUACUUGGGCAACACCACGCAGAAGACGGCAAGAACCCAUCCGUCUGCAGCGAGGUUGGAGUUUGUACCACAUUGCAGAGCCUGGUACAAAGCCAGCACCUCUCAUGUUCCCUUUUGGCUCACACAGUGCGCUGGUCUCAUGUGCUGCACAGGGAUAAGAUGUGACACUUCAGCAACUUUUGCCUGACAUACAUCUGCUUUUCUGGAGCCCCUUAUCCUGGGGGAUCUCUGGACCUUCAGAUGCCCUUCAGGUAUUAGAUACCCACUGUGUGUGAUUUUCAAGGUAACCAGGAGAUAAUUCUUUCUUUCUGAAAUGCAGGU
rnacentral:lncRNA from 1 species